rnacentral:rRNA from 1 species
UUUAAGUUGUGUGCAAGUGGUAGGAGAGCGUUCUAUUUGCGUCGAAGGUAUACCGACAAGGAGUGCUGGAGCGAAUAGAAGUGAGCAUGCAGGCAUGAGUAGCGAUAAUUAAUGUGAGAAUCAUUAACGCCGUAAACCCAAGGUUUCCUACGCGAUGCUCGUCAUCGUAGGGUUAGUCGGGUCCUAAGCUGAGUCCGAAAGGGGUAAGCGAUGGCAAAUAGGUUAAUAUUCCUAUACCAACAUUAGUGUGCGAUGGAAGGACGCUUAGGGCUAAGGGGGCUAGCGGAUGGAAGUGCUAGUCUAAGGUCGUAGGAGGUUAUACAGGCAAAUCCGUAUAACAAUACUCCGAGAACUGAAAGGCUUUUUGAAGUCUUCGGAUGGAAAGAAGAACCCCUGAUGCCGUCGAGCCAAGAAAAGUUUCUAAGUUUAGCUAAUGUUGCCCGUACCGUAAACCGACACAGGUGGGUGGGAUGAGUAUUCUAAGGCGCGUGGAAGAACUCUCUUUAAGGAACUCUGCAAAAUAGCACCGUAUCUUCGGUAUAAGGUGUGCCUCCCUUUGUAUUAGAAUUCACUUCGAAAGCAAAGAAGGUUACAACAAAGAGUCCCUCCCGACUGUUUACCAAAAACACAGCACUCUGCUAACUCGUAAGAGGAUGUAUAGGGUGUGACGCCUGCCCGGUGCUCGAAGGUUAAUUGAUGGGGUUAGCAUUAGCGAAGCUCUUGAUCGAAGCCCGAGUAAACGGCGGCCGUAACUAUAACGGUCCUAAGGUAGCGAAAUUCCUUGUCGGUUAAAUACCGACCUGCAUGAAUGGCGUAACGAGAUGGGAGCUGUCUCAAAGAGGGAUCCAGUGAAAUUGUAGUGGAGGUGAAAAUUCCUCCUACCCGCGGCAAGACGGAAAGACCCCGUGGACCUUUACUACAGCUUGACACUGCUAUUUGGAUAAGAAUGUGCAGGAUAGGUGGGAGGCUUUGAGUAUAUGACGCCAGUUGUAUAUGAGCCAUUGUUGAGAUACCACUCUUUCUUAUUUGGGUAGCUAACCAGCUUGAGUUAUCCUCAAGUGGGACAAUGUCUGGUGGGUAGUUUGACUGGGGCGGUCGCCUCCCAAAUAAUAACGGAGGCUUACAAAGGUUGGCUCAUAGCGGUUGGAAAUCGCUAGUAGAGUAUAAAGG